rnacentral:lncRNA from 1 species
UGGGGACUCUGUACUAUCUUCCCAACUUUUCUAUAAAUUUAAAAUUGAAAGGUUAUUUUAAGUCCACUAGAGAAGAUUAAUAAAGAUCACUGAGUGAGAAACUACAGAAGUGAUCCACUGCGAUGCAUAGAGAGGGGAGGUUGAAAAAUCAGUGUUGUUGGGGUGGUGUCAUGCAGUCUAAAGACAGCUGAGGUUCCAGAAGCAGGAGGAGGAGCAUGUUUGUAGAAAGAAUGGCCAGAAAUUUUCUGUGGUACUGGAAAUCAAACUCAAAGCCUUGUGCAUACCCAGCAAGUACUCUACCACUAAGUUGCCUCCCCAGCUUUUUUUAUUAUAUUUUGAGACCCAGUUGCUAUG